ACUCAAAUGAAUAGACGGGGACCCGCACAAGCGGUGGAUGAUGUGGAUUAAUUCGAUGCAACGCGAAUAACCUUACCUACCCUUGACAUGUCCUGAACCCUGCUGAGAGGCGGGGGUGCCCGAAAGGGAACGGGAACACAGGUGCUGCAUGGCUGUCGUCAGCUCGUGUCGUGAGAUGUUGGGUUAAGUCCCGCAACGAGCGCAACCCUUAUCAUUAGUUGCUACGGUAACGGGCACUCUAAUGAGACUGCCGGUGACAAACCGGAGGAAGGUGGGGAUGACGUCAAGUCCUCAUGGCCCUUAUGGGUAGGGCUUCACACGUCAUACAAUGGCCGGUACAGAGGGUUGCCAAGCAGCGAUGCGGAGCCAAUCCCAGAAAGCCGGUCGUAGUCCGGAUUGCAGUCUGCAACUCGACUGCAUGAAGUCGGAAUCGCUAGUAAUCGCGGAUCAGCAUGUCGCGGUGAAUACGUUCCCGGGUCUUGUACACACCGCCCGU
rnacentral:rRNA from 1 species